rnacentral:lncRNA from 1 species
CCGAGCGGAGACGAAGCCGGCCGGGAGGAAGGGGUCGUCGUCGUCGUUUCCGGCGGCCGAGGAGGACGACGACGGCACUACGUCGGCGAGGUCGGCCAACCCUCGGCGGGGUUGCCCUCGAGCUCGCCUCCCCUUGCUGUGCCGCUCUGGCUCGCCACCCUCGUCGGUCGGGUGUGCGCCGAGGAGUCGUCGCCCCGGGGAGGGCAGAAGUGGGAGCUCCCCUCGUCCUCGCCCUCGGCCUCUGCGUCACCGUCGUCCCCGCUGCGGCCUGCCACUUUUGCGCCUCCGGGAUGGACACCGGCAGCCCGCGUUGACCUGCAACAGGUAUGGCCGUCAACCUCCUCCUCGAGACUUCUCGCGCUCUCUGGCUCGGGCCUCGUCCCUCAUCUCGCUAGAAACGUGGAACGAUCUCCCUCUCCCGAACGAGACCCUCCUUAUUGGGUCAGAUCUAUCCACAGUGCGUGCGGAACUGUAAGUCUGUAA